rnacentral:rRNA from 1 species
AGAGUUUGAUCAUGGCUCAGAACGUACGCUGGCGGCACGCCUAAUACAUGCAAGUCGAACGAAGUAGCAAUACUUAGUGGCAGACGGGUGAGUAACAUGUGGGUAUCUUCCCUUUGGUGAGGAAUAACACGAGGAAACUUGUGCUAAUACCUCAUAAGUCUUUACGGAGAAAGCUUUAUGCGCCAUUGGAUGAGCCCGCACUUGAUUAGUUUGUUGGGGGGGUAAUGGCCUACCAAGACUGUGAUCAAUAGCUGAUUUGAGAGGAUGAUCAGCCACAUUGGGACUGAGACACGGCCCAAACUUCUAUGGAAGGCAGCAGUAGGGAAUCUUGCACAAUGGAGGAAACUCCGAUGCAGCGAUGCCGCGUGAGUGAAGAAGGCAUUUGGGUUGUAAAGCUCUUUCGUCGGGGAAGAAAAUGACUGUACCCGAAUAAGAAGGUCCGGCUAACUUCGUGCCAGCAGCCGCGGUAAUACGAAGGGACCUAGCGUAGUUCGGAAUUACUGGGCUUAAAGAGCACGUAGGUGGUUAAAAAAGUUGGUGGUGAAAUCCCAGGGCUUAACCCUGGAACUGCCGUCAAAACUUUUUAGCUAGAGUAUGAUAGAGGAAAGUAGAAUUUCUAGUGUAGAGGUGAAAUUCGUAGAUAUUAGAAAGAAUACCAAUUGCGAAGGCAGCUUUCUGGGUCAUUACUGACACUGAGGAACGAAAGCAUGGGUAGCGAAGAGGAUUAGAUCCCCUCGUAGUCCAUGCUGUAAACGAUGUGUGCUAGACGUUGGAAAUUUAGUUUUCAGUGUCGCAGCAAAAGCGUUAAGCACACCGCCUGGGGAGUACGACCGCAAGGUUAAAACUCAAAUGAAUUGACGGGGACCCGCACAAGUAGUGGAGCAUGUGGUUUAAUUCGAAGAUACGCGCAGAACCUUACCAACACUUGACAUGUUCGUCGCGACUCUAAGAGAUUAGAGUUUUCGGUUCGGCCGGACGAAACACAGGUGCUGCAUGGCUGUCGUCAGCUCGUGUCUUGAGAUGUUGGGUUAAGUCCCGCAACGAGCGCAACCCUUACUUUUAGUUGCUACCAUUUAGUUGGGCACUCUAAAAGAACUGCCAGUGAUAAGCUGGAGGAAGGUGGGGAUGACGUCAAGUUCUCAUGGCCCUUAUGUGUUGGGCUACACACGUGUUACAAUGGAAGUUACAGAGGGAAGCUAAGCCGCGAGGCCAUGCCAAUCCCAGAAAAUCUUUCUCAGUUCGGAUCGCAGUCUGCAACUCGACUGCGUGAAGCUGGAAUCGCUAGUAAUCGCGGAUCAGCACGCCGCGGUGAAUACGUUCCCGGGCCUUGUACCCACCGCCCGUCACACCAUGGGAGCCGACAAGGGCAGAAGUCGCCGAGCUAACCUUCGGGAAGCAGGCGCCCAAGCUGUUGUUGACGACUGGGGUGAAGUCGUAACAAGGUAGCC